rnacentral:rRNA from 1 species
GACGAACGCUGGCGGCGUGCUUAACACAUGCAAGUCGAACGGUAAGGCCCUUCGGGGUACACGAGUGGCGAACGGGUGAGCAACACGUGGGUGAUCUGCCCUGCACUUCGGGAUAAGCCUGGGAAACUGGGUCUAAUACCGGAUAGGACCCUGGGAUGCAUGUCCUGGGGUGGAAAGCUUUUGCGGUGUGGGAUGGGCCCGCGGCCUAUCAGCUUGUUGGUGGGGUGAUGGCCUACCAAGGCGACGACGGGUAGCCGGCCCGAGAGGGUGAACGGACACACUGGGACGGAGAGACGGCCCAGAGUCCGACGGGAGGCAGCAGUGGGGAAUAUUGCACAAUGGGCGCAAGACUGAUGCAGCGACGCCGCGUGAGGGAUGACGGCCUUCGGGUUGUAAACCUCUUUCAGCACCGACGAAGCGCAAGUGACGGUAGGUGCAGAAGAAGGACCGGCCAACUACGUGCCAGCCGCCGCGGUAA